CUUGCUGUGCAGAAAGGGGCUCUUGGUUCCUGAGUGAGGAGUUUCUGUGGCAUCCAGCUGGAGACUAGAGCUAUUAGAUUUGCUGUAUUCCGGGGAGCAAGGAUCAUUUUCUUCUGCCAACAUGCUUUCUGCCCCUCACCCUGUUCUUCUCAUCUUCUUACUAUUCAGGGGAACCAGUGGAGACUCAGUGACCCAGACUGAAGUCCCAGUCACUCUCCCAGAGGAGGCGUCUAUGUUCCUGAACUGCAUCUAUCAGACUGCUGAUUCAAAUCCCUACCUUUUCUGGUAUGUGCAGUACGUCAACAGAGCUCCUCAGCUCCUCCUGAAGGGCUCAACUGGAAACCCGAGGCCUGAGCAUCAGGGUUUUCAGGCCACUCUUGUUAAAAGUAACAGGACCUUCCACCUGCAGAAACCAUCCGUGCAGACGUCAGACUCGGCCGUGUACUACUGUGCUCUGAGUGACACAGUGAGAGGGGCUGCAGGAGGAGCUGAGCACAAACCCAAGGCGCAGGUGGGCGGCAGUGAGUGGCCUUGGGAGGAAGAGUUACAUUCUCCCCAUGGGUAG